GCCCUCUAAGCAUUAUGGUAAUGCACCUGAUUUGUAAUCAGGAGACCGGGGUUCGACUCCCCGAGAGGGCU
rnacentral:tRNA from 1 species